rnacentral:misc_RNA from 1 species
GCUCAUAGAUAUCAUAUAAAUAUGGAAAAUGGAACCAAAUCAAUGACAAAUAGAGUCCCUUGCAUAUCUCUCUUCGAUGUUUCUAAAACACGUUACAACAGAUAAAAACAAAAAGAAAAGGGGGGCAAAAGUUAUAAAGCAAGCAGGAACAAGAUAGGUAAUGUUGUUUUUAAAAGAUGUGAAAUCGUCAGUUAUGACAGUGAUUAAGUGAUAUACAAUGGCAAGUUUUACAAAUUCCAAGAUUGCUUGCUUGACAAGGACGAGUUAUGCAUCUAUCCGAGGCUUAAGCAAGUACCUCUUACAUCAAACUCUCAUCACUUCCUGAUUGAGAGGAGCUCAAAGCUCCUAAAAGUGUCCUCACGGGUGCCUUUAGAAGAAGCCACAGCACGGGUAGAUGAUUUUGACUCAUACCCAGGUUGGAUUCUCUGUGAAGAAGUCAGACGGCCACCACUUGAGAGUAAUCUGCUGGGACGACCUUCACUAGGUUCACCAGAGGAACUUGGCCUACUAUUUGAGAUGACAGCUUUUCUUGUGUUGCUGCCAUAUCGAGAAGAACUACGGCCUUUCUCUGGCUCAAGUUGCUGCAAGUGCUAGCCAAAGAUGGCACUUAUUAAGAAUUUUGCAACAGAAAUAGAACACUUGAAUGCAGUACUAUUGCUGCUAUGACUUUAUUUAGAGCAAAAAUUGAAUCACCAUGCCAUGCUACCAUAAAAUAAGCAAAAGUAAAUGAACCAAGACAUCGCAGGUUUUAAGUUACGUUUCAAUUUCAUCAACCCGCUAAACUUGGCUGUCCUUGGAAAGUCCAUUCACUUACAUAUCCUUUUUUCUCCGAUUCUUGUCUGAUUUCCAAUUUGGCUCUAUUCACCAGCAGAAAUAAACGGGAUUCUGAUAGCUAGGACUCAAAUCUAACUUUCAGAAUCAAAGCCUUGGUUGUUACUGAAAUAUAAUUGAACUAAUGAAGCAAUAAAACAAUGUACAAUUCAACCCAACUCAAUGAAGCCUAACAAAUAAAACAAUGUACACACAGUAGUCUGUUAUCUUACCGUGCAAGAUCUUAAGUUUAAAAUCAAUGAAACAUUUUAAAAGAUUUGGCUUCAAGUCUGAACUAAAGCAAGCAAGAAGACUGUGGGCUACUUCCCCUAUUUUAAAAUUUGCUUUCAUGGUUAAAAUGAUAUGAUCCAUUUUAGACUCCAAAUGGUAGAAAACUCAAUUGGUACUAAUCAGCUUGUCAUCAGAAUUUCAAAUGCAUAGAAAAUUGGACAACAAAUUUUUUUUAUAGUUUCUUCUGAAAUUAACCACAGGAUGAGCUUACAUUUUCAGAAGACCUGUUUCUGGAAUUGUCAUGUGGACUAGAGCCUGAGAUCUUCCUUGUAGAAAAUGCUUCAACUGCACCUGACAAUCUAUCCCGAAUCUCUUUCCCAACUGAGACCUUUUCUGUGGGUCUUUCUGCAGAUGGUCCUGCAUGACCUGGUUUCCCACUGGAAUGCCGUCCUCUAGAGCUGGAACUAAUCUGAGGGUAUUUCAAAACCGUCCAGUCAAAAACAUAGUCAAACUGGAAGCCUGUAGAAUAGAGCAACAGAUACAAUGACAACAUCAAAUGCCAAUUCAUAAUUCAGAGGGUAAAAAAGAAUUCAAGACAAAAUACUAGAAUAGGUACGACAAAUUUAAAGCCAUUCAACAAGUUAUAUAAACCUUCACGAAUAAAGAGAUCGCGAAAUAUUCUUUUAAGGUAAGCAUAAUCAGGCUUAUCAUCAAAUCGUAAUGAACGGCAGUAAUGAAAGUAGGACGCAAAUUCGGUUGGAUAACCCCUACAUAAGGCUUCAAUUGAAGUGGAGACCUUCUUUUCACUAAUUUUCUCAUACUUCUGUUUCUUCGUUCCCGCUUUUAGUCCUUGCCAAGGAAGACUUCCUCUUAGGAAGUACAUAAGAACAUAACCCAAAGAUUCUAAAUCAUCCCUCCGGCUUUGCUCUAUGACAGUCCAAUAAGUCAGAAACAAAUUAAUGAAAUGAUAGAAGAGGGAACGUUUGACUGGAAAACCAACAAAUUGAUGAGAUUGCCAAGUGCAAAAAGAUAGGAAGCUUGUACCAAUUCCCAGGUGCGUGUUCAUACUUGCAUAUCUAGCAGUUCCAGUCAAAUUUUUAUUUUCCCUGCAGUAUUUAUUACCAUAUAUAUGUCAGCAAUUGCUUGCCACAAUGACCAUUAUAAUAGGGGGAAAAAUACAUUAAGAUCCAUAGAAAGAUUACAUGAAACAGCAAAUACUUUUUUAUGCGUAUCAACCCAAAAGAGCUACAUUAUCGCAAAACACACACUAAAACAACCUCGUGUCCCUAGUGCUACAGCAAUGCAGUAGGCAGAACAAGGACAAUCGCUUCCACAGUGAUAAAGCAUGCUAACAAUAGCAUUAAAUUGAUUACACAAUCUUGCUUCAUAUAUCCCUACAAGAGCCAUAAACACAAUCUUAGGUGGUAGCACAUGGUUGAAAUGUUCUGACCUGUAAGGUAUAUGUUGAUGGGUUGAACUAUCUCUAUAUUUCUUUGCCAAACCAAAGUCAAUCAUGUAUACCUGAUUAGCACGCCGUCCCAAGCCCAUGAGAAAAUUGUCUGGCUUGAUAUCUCGAUGAAGAAACGAUUUUGAAUGAACAAACUCAACACGAUUGAUCAUCUGAUCAGCAAGCAUAAGAACCGACUUCAAAGAAAGUUUCCUACUGCAGAAGUUAAAUAGAUCCUCAAGACUAGGUCCAAGCAAAUCCAUAACAAGAACAUUAUAGUCUCCCUCCACACCAAACCAUCUCACAUUUGGAAUCCCAGUUCCUCCUUGAAGGAUUCUGUAUAACUUUGAUUCAUACAGCAAUUGGGGAUGCUUUGUCUUUACAGUUUCAAGCUUAAUGGCAACCUCUUCAUUUGUCUGGAUAUUAGUUCCGAGAUAGAUCUCCCCAAACGACCCGCUGCCGAUCUUUCGACCGAGCCGAAACUUAUUACCAACACGCGGCUCCAUCAAUACGAUCAACAGAAACCCAAAAAUUGAAACCCCUAGCUACAAUACAAACCCUAAUUCGACAACUUCCUCAAGAAAAAAAAAAUUAUCAAAAAUGUGGGAAAAACAAACUAAUGCCGAGAAAAAACACGACACUGUACACCGAAUCAGCCGCACCGACAACUUGAAAAAGUCGCACGGAAACGAAGAAACCCAACAGGGGUAAAAGAAAAACAGAGAAGAUAGAAUUGAGAUCUGGAAUUUCGUGGGUCUCUGAAGAUUAGAGAAUCAAGGGAAAAAAAAAAUCCUAAUCUAGGGUUAGGUUAAUUACAGAUAAAAUGAAAAAGAAAAGUAGAAAUAAAAAUUUAGAAGUAGGUCUCUCCAGGUAUUAUCAUCCUUAUGACUCUCUACAGAAAAUCAGAGUUUUCUCUCUUUCUUCUCUCUCAUUGCUGAUCCGAUAGAAUCACAGCAAAAGACUUCUAACAAUGGGGAUGCGUGUGUAUUGUGCUUGGGCGGGGGUCUCUUUUUCUUUGUUUUUU